AUACGUAGGUGCCAAGCGUUAUCCGGAUUUACUGGGCGUAAAGGGCGUGUAGGCGGUCUUGCAAGUCAGAAGUGAAAUUCCUGAGCUCAACUCGGGCGCUGCUUCUGAAACUGCAGGACUUGAGUGCUGGAGGGGAUAGCGGAAUUCCUAGUGGAGCGGUAAAAUGCGCAGAUAUUAGGAAGAACACCGGUGGCGGAGGCGGCGGUUAGCAGAGCAGAAACGGACGAUUGGGCACGGACGGAGGGGGAGAAAUCAUGAGAUAAUACCCUGGUAGUCCACGCCGUCAACGAGGAAUACUAGGUGUAGGGGGUAUCGACUCCCUCUGUGCCGCAGUUAACACAAUAAGUAUUCCGCCUGGGGAGUACGGUCGCAAGGUUGAAACUCAAAUGAAUUGACGGGG
rnacentral:rRNA from 1 species